rnacentral:rRNA from 1 species
AUGUCAUGUGCAAAGUGCCACAAAUCUGCCCAGCCAUAUAGUACUGUCUACAAGUGUGCUGGUGUAGAUUGUUCCUGCACCGAUGCAGUACCGAGGUAUCGGAUAUGUUUCGUAGGUGCUGACGACACAGGGGAAGCUGAGUUCGUCCUGUUUGAAAGGGCGGGAAAAGAUCUUGUUGGCAAAUCUUUGAUUACUCUGAUCCGUGAAGGAAAAUCCAACCGUGUUCCACUUGAUGAGAUAGUUCGGAUGGCACGUGGGGAUGACACUGUGCCCCGAGAAAUUACUGCACUCAUUGGACAAAGAUGUGCAUUUGUGGUGUCUAUCUCCUCAAAGAGCUUCUUACCUAACACUGAAGUGACCUCAUUCCAAGUCAAUAGGCUAGAUGUGCCCAAUGAAACAUCCGUGAGAAAUGCGGUUGUGUAUCAUAAGGCAAAUUCACCCAGGCAAUCUGAGAGUGAUACUGGUUCUCUCACUGGUGCUGGGUUAUCAACUGGUGCGCCGCUCACUGGGUCCAUUCCACCAUUAUCACUCACAGAUAGCGGGAAUGCUGACGAGAUUGUUCAUGAGGGAUCAUACUCAAAGGAGCUUGCCACUCCUGAAGCCAAUAAGAAUCGUUCUUCACCAGCUUCUGUCAACAAAAGUGCCACUACACAUAUGGUGGCAGCAAGUGGUGUGCCUAAGUCUGGGCUGCGUAAACCUCUGUUUUCCGAUGGUCGUGCUCAGGUACAUCCUUUCAUUUGCUUGGCGGAACUUCAUUUAGAUCUCUCUACGUACUUGCUUGGUAGUCGGUUGACACGAUGUAUCUGUUUAUGCCUUCUAGGGGCCUGCAAAGAUGGUUGGCGGCUCCGCUGUUCUCGGUGA